GGAGUUGUAGCCCAGUGGUAGGGCACUUGCCUAGCACGUGUGAAGCACUGGGUUCAAUCCUCAGCACCA
rnacentral:tRNA from 1 species